GGGUGCGCAUCAACGACCGUGCCAUCAACAUGGCUUGCAUCUCGACCAAGGGCAUGUACCAGCGGCCACGCAACGACACCAUCUCGGUGCACUUUCUCAAGCGGCCAGGCGGCUCCCUCUACCUGUGGGGCUUGAUGCAUGACGGCAUUCCGCACUCGGCCGAGAACUGCACUCGCUGGG
rnacentral:rRNA from 1 species